CCCAGACUCCUACGGGAGGCAGCAGUGGGGGAUAUUGCACAAUGGGGGGAACCCUGAUGCAGCGACGCCGCGUGGGUGAAGGAGCGUUUCGACGCGUAAAGCCCUAUCGGCAGGGAAGAAGGAGGACGGUACCUGACUAAGAAGCCCCGGCUAACUACGUGCCAGCAGCCGCGGUAAUACGUAGGGGGCAAGCGUUAUCCGGAUUUACUGGGUGUAAAGGGGGCGCAGACGGCAGCGCAAGCCAGGAGUGAAAGCCCGGGGCCCAACCCCGGGACUGCUCUUGGAACUGCGCGGCUGGAGUGCAGGAGGGGCAGGCGGAAUUCCUGGUGUAGCGGUGAAAUGCGUAGAUAUCAGGAGGAACACCGGUGGCGAAGGCGGCCUGCUGGACUGCGACUGACGUUGAGGCCCGAAAGCGUGGGGAGCAAACAGGAUUAGAUACCCCUGUA
rnacentral:rRNA from 1 species